rnacentral:ncRNA from 2 species
AAGAUGUAUGCUCAUGCUCGCUGUCGCCGCAGGGGAAUCCGGUGGGAAUCCGGAACUGUCCCGCAAUGGUGUACGCGUACGCUUUUGCGUACCCGCAAGUCCAAGGACCUGCCGACAGCCGUCUCAUACG